UAAGAGUACUGAAUAUUGAGAAUCAGACUGAAUUGAGUAGGAUAGAAAAUUUGGGACUUGAUUGAUAUUAGAUUGCUAGUAUAAAUUGAAUUGAAACAUAUAAUGGUAUUUGUUAAUUUGAUAUCUAAUAAUGAGGUUGGGAUUGAUAGAUCGUGAGAUGAGUACAUAACAUUAAAAAUUGGUUGGUUAAUAAAUGCGCAAGUUAUACUUCGGUAUUAUCUGAUGAUGCACUAUGUGUUCUAGUAUGUUGCUUCAGUUUUAUCCGAUGAUGCACUAUGUGUGCCAGUAU
rnacentral:lncRNA from 1 species